rnacentral:lncRNA from 1 species
AUAAAGUCUUAGGAGUGCGACUGCUGGGUCAUAUGGACAAGGAAUUAUGGAAACUGCCAACUCAGAGUCCUCUGUACACAGAACCCAGGCUUGGUGGGGUCAACAAUGCAACACAGGGCAGCACGGCGCACAGGAGGAGCUGCCCAGCAAGCAGCAGCCCACAGUGCAGGAGCCUCCAGGCUUUCUCAUCACCCUGUCCAGGUGUGAUGGGGAAUUCCUGAUUCAGUUUCAAGAAGGAGCAAGUACAGACAAGAAGCUGGCCCAGGCCAGGGCACACGGGAACAAGCCCCUGUAGGGCUCAGGGGCAUGGGCGUUCAGCCUUCCACCCUUCCCCACCCUACCGCUACUCGUUUGGUUCUUAACAUAAAGAAUCCCAG